AAGCAACACUCUGGCAGAAGACCAAAACUGUCUGACACAAUUUGAGCUUGCUAUAGCAACAAAGUCCAACCUAUUCCAGCAUUCUCUCUUCUGAGACAAGUUGUUACAGACUUAGUGUUU